ACCGCACAGUUAACUAAUCCAACGCUCUAACCACUGCACUCCGCGAGUAGCCUGCCUGUUACGCAAAUGUAGUAGAAGCCAAGAGGGCACGACCACACCUCUUCACCCUCAGGAGGCUGACACGGGCCCUCAGAUCCUCAAAAAGUUCUACAGCUGCACCAUUGAGAGCAUCUUGCCUGUCUGCAUCCACGCUUAGUAUGGCAACUGCUUGGCAUCCGGCCGCAAGGUGCUGCAGAGGUUAGUACGUACAGCCCAGUACUUCCCUGGGGCAGAACUCCCUGCCAAUCAGGACCUCUGUACCAGGUGGUGUCAGAGGAAGGCCCUAAAAAAAUUGUCUAAGACUCCAGCCACCCAAAUUAUAGACUGUUCUCUCUGCUACCGCAUGGCAAGCGAUACCGGAACACCAAGUCUGUGACUAAAAGGCACCUGAACAGCUUCUACCCCCAAGCCAUAAGACUGCUGAACAAAUGGCUAACCGGACUAUUUACAUUGACCCCCUGUAUUCUUUUAUUAUCUUAAUUGUUUUGCCCUGACUCUCUUGCGCUCACUCUUUGCACACUCACUAGACUCUACGCACACACUCACACAUACUACACUCCAACACACACACACAAAACACACACAUGCAUAUUGACACGACACACACAUUCACAUAUAGACACACUUUCCCACACGCUGCUGCUACUCUGUUUACUAUAUAUCCUGGUUGCCUAGUCACUUUUAGCCCUACUUACAUGUACAUACUGUAUUACCUCUACCUACCUCGUCAAUGUGCAGGGGUACGAGGUACUGGUACUCCUUGUAUAUAGCCUUGUAAUUGUUUUCAUUGUGUUACCAUUUCCUUGUUUUAUUGAAAUAUUUGUCUUUUACUUUUUUUAAACUCUGCACUGUUGGGAAUGCGCUCAUAAAGUAAAGCACUUCACCUGUUGUAUUCGGAGCAUGUGACCAAUAAAAUGUGAUUUUGA